CUAAGCAUAUCAAUAAGCGGAGGAAAAGAAACUAACAAGGAUUCCCCUAGUAACUGCGAGUGAAGAGGGAAAAGCUCAAAUUUAAAAUCUGGCAGUUAUUUGCUGUCCGAGUUGUAAAUUGGAGAAGUGUUAUCCGCGCUGGCCUGUGCAUAAGUCUCUUGGAAAAGAGCAUCAUAGAGGGUGACAAUCCCGUCUUUGGCACAGACUACCAGGGCUUUUGUGAUGCGCUCUCAACGAGUCGAGUUGUUUGGGAAUGCAGCUCUAAAUGGGUGGUAAAUUCCAUCUAAAGCUAAAUAUUGGCGAGAGACCGAUAGCGCACAAGUACCGUGAGGGAAAGAUGAAAAGAACUUUGGAAAGAGAGUUAAACAGUACGUGAAAUUGUUGAAAGGGAAACGCUUGAAGUCAGUCAUGUCUCACUGAAAUCAACCUGGCACUUGUCUGGUGUACUUUCUGUGGGACAGGUCAGCAUCAGUUCUGAUUGCUGGAAAAAGGCCUUGGGAAUGUGACAUCUUUUCGAAGAUGUGUUAUAGCCCUUGGACCACAUACAGUGGUUGGGACUGAGGAACUCGAUGUGUGGUAUGCUCUGGGGUUUCGGUCCUGGAGUCAUGCAUUCAAGGAUGCUGGCAUAAUGGCUUUAAUCGACCCG
rnacentral:rRNA from 2 species